rnacentral:rRNA from 1 species
CCUACGGGAGGCAGCAGUGAGGAAUAUUGGUCAAUGGGCGCGAGCCUGAACCAGCCAAGUAGCGUGAAGGAUGACUGCCCUACGGGUUGUAAACUUCUUUUAUGAAGGAAUAAAGUGAGGCACGUGUGCCUUUUUGUAUGUACUUUAUGAAUAAGAAUCGGCCAACGCCGUGCCAGCAGCCGCGCUAAUACGGAGGUGCCGAGCGUUAUCCGGAUUUAUUUGGUUUAAAGGGAGGGUAUAUGGGUUGUUAAGUCAGUUGUGAAAGUUUGCGGCUCAACCGUAAAAUUGCAAUUGAUACUGGCAGGCUUGAGUACAGUUGAGGUAGGCGGAAUUCGUGGUGUAGCGGUGAAAUGCUUAGAUAUCACGAAGAACACCGAUUGCGAAGACAGCUUACUAAACUGCCACUGACAUUGAUGCUCGAAAGUGUGGGUAUCAAACAGGAUUAGAUACCCGAGUAGUC